rnacentral:rRNA from 1 species
AGGACGAACGCUGGCGGCGUGCUUAACACAUGCAAGUCGAGCGAACCUUCGGGUUAGCGGCGAACGGGUGAGUAACACGUGGGCAACCUGCCCCAAGCUCUGGGAUAACCUCCGGAAACGGGGACUAAUACCGGAUAUGACUCUUGAAGACAUCUUCUUGAGUGGAAAGUUUUUCGGCUUGGGAUGGGCCCGCGGCCUAUCAGCUUGUUGGUGGGGUAACGGCCUACCAAGGCGACGACGGGUAGCC